GAUGGGUCGGCAUAUUCUCUAACAUGUAGUGUUUUGAUGAUUUCUCGCAUUUAGGUUUCAUUGUUUGGAAAUCAUGGAGUAUCUCUUCUGAUUUGCUGCUUCUGUUCCUUUGGUUUUUUGUGUUUUGACUUUUUAUUGAAAAGAUUUUGGGUCUGUUCGAUCUGUGUGCUUAGAUUCAUUUUGGGCUGCUGUUUUUAGUUGGUGAUGUUUUCCGUUUUUCUGAUUUCUAUUGCAUGUUCAGUUUUGUGCUUUAUUUUGGAACUUUGUAGUGUUCCUUCUUGUUUGCUAUUUUUUUUUACCUUUUUGGAUUUAAAAAAUUGCACUUAUCUUUGGAUUUUCUGCAUAAAUUAAUUACUGUCUUUCUUUUGUAGCUUGAUUUCUCUUAAUUUAUCGAUUCAAAAUCCUCGUAGAGUUGGUGUAAAGAGUAAAUAUUCAUUUGGUUUUGUUAUCCCCAGGACAGCUAAAGGGUUAGUGAAAGAGUGGUCUCAUUACCCUACCCACAGUCAAAGGGUAUAGUAUGUAAGAAAGCAUCAAUUCGUUAAUGGGGCUCUUCUAAAAAACCGUUGAGAUGCGAAAGAUGUAAUACUCGUUGAACAUUCCCUAUGAAUUGAGGAGAUGUUGCUUUUCAACUCAAACUUCGAUGGUACCCAAAGCAAUCAUGUAUAUUGUGAUUUUGAGAGUUGGGUUUUGUUCUUCAAUGGGCAGUUGCCACUUGCUAGAGUUCAUGGCAAAGCCUAGCUUGAAGUUGAAUCCGCCCAAAUACCACCUGCCCAACAAGGACAUAGCAAUCGAACCAUUGCGAAUGAAGAAAAAUGGCAUCAUUAGGUGUUUGUGGGUAUUUGUUGCAUAUGUUUGGGUUUUGAGUAGGUCGAGAGCCCCAAGUUUGAAUUUAAUGUCAUCUGGUUUCACCUCCAUCAUUCUUUCUUCACCUCAUCGAGAGAAAUUUGGAGACGAAGCUUUCAAAAGGACCAUGGAUAGCUACAGCAGCCAUUGCAGACCCUGAAAAUCUCCCUUGAUCUAGUUCAUCACAUCUGCUUCUCUGUAUCCAAUUUUGAAUCAUUUGUUCACACGCUUGAGGAAGAAGGAUCUUGGUAGAUACAAAUAUGUUGAUGGACAUGUAUCUAACAAUUACCAGAAAUCCACCCUCUCUGCAUCGGUAGUAGUCAAUAAAUUUACACUUCCAUGUCCUAGAAUUUGAUCAAGAAAAUAAGAAUCGUCU